CUCCCUAUCUUUCUAUCUCUUUCGUUAAUUGCAAGGAAUCAAGGAGAAUUUUCUGCUUGUUGUCGUUCUCUCCUAAACAGCGUUCUAAAUCCUAGGUUUUGUUAGUUUCCAAUUACCUCAACAUAUAUCAAGGAGAAUUUUCUGGUUCUUGUCGUUCUCUCCUAAACAGCGUUCUAAAUUCUAAGUUUUGUUAGUUUCCAAUUACCUCAACAUAUAAAAGCAAAGAGCCAAAGAACAAAAAGAAGUCCAAAUAGAGACUCAUUGAUCAAACAGAAGCUAGCUGAACAAACUGGAAAAAGUUGUUUUCUUGAAAAGAUCAAGACAAAUAUAAAGGGUUCCACCCAAAAAGAUCUCUUAAUCAGAUUUUUUUCAAUGUCAAACAUCUCUUCUGGUAAUAGUAGUACUGCAGGUGCAGAAGAAGAAUAUGAAGAGCAAGAUCAGCAGCAAACUUCUAACGUACUUUUGCCUUCUAGUGUUUAUCAAGAGCAAGAUCUUCCUAAUAAGAAGAGAAGGAAAUUACCUGGAAACCCUGGUAAAUUUUAUUAUCAGUCAUCAAGAUCAAGACCUUCCUAAUAAGAAGAGAAGGAAAUUACCUGGAAAUCCUGGUAAAUUUUAUUAUCAGCUCAUUUUUUCACCUUCUGCUGUAGUUUUACUACGUUUUUCUCUUCUUCUAUUAUAGUGGAUUUCAAGUUUUUAAUUAAUUUGUUGUUGAUGAUGGUUUGAUCUAAUAGCUUUUCAGAUUAGUUCUGUGCUACAAAGGUAGCUACUACAUAGUUUUUUUGUGAGGCUCAAGUGUAAUUUUUAGAUUAAAACAGGUAAUUAAUCAGCUCAAAUUAUAUGGAGUUGAACUUAUAGAUUAAAACAAGUUAAUUAGAGGUUUGAUAACUUCAAUAUGGCCGGGCAAGAAGAUUCGAUUUGUUUGACGACAAACAUUCAUGCAUAUUGGAUUUCGGAUUUUACCAAUAAUUUUCUUUUGUAUUCUUUCUUUUAAUGGUAUAAUAUAUGGUGGAGUAUAAUAUUUGUUUAAAUAUAAAAAUGGGAGUUAGGGAAAUUGGAAAGUGAUUAAUAUAUGUAGGUAGUUGAAGGGUUCAAUACGUCAAUUAUUGGUUGGGGGAAUUCAAUAAUUGGAGUAAACUGUUGCAUGCUGCCGUGGACUGGCAUAACCAUAUAGUAGUAUACAAUUCUCCUUUUCUUUUUGUUUUUUACUGUUUGA
rnacentral:lncRNA from 1 species